rnacentral:rRNA from 1 species
CCUACGGGUUGCAGCAGUGGGGAAUAUUGCACAAUGGGCGCAAGCCUGAUGCAGCCAUGCCGCGUGUAUGAAGAAGGCCUUCGGGUUGUAAAAUACUUUCAGCGGGGCGGAAGGCGAUAAGGUUAAUAACCUUGCCGAUUGACGUUACCCGCAGAAGAAGCACCGGCUAACUCCGUGCCAGCAGCCGCGGUAAUACGGAGGGUGCAAGCGUUAAUCGGAAUUACUGGGCGUAAAGCGCACGCAGGCGGUCUGUCAAGUCGGAUGUGAAAUCCCCGGGCUCAACCUGGGAACUGCAUUCGAAACUGGCAGGCUAGAGUCUUGUGGAGGGGGGUAGAAUUCCAGGUGUAGCGGUGAAAUGCGUAGAGAUCUGGAGGAAUACCGGUGGCGAAGGCGGCCCCCUGGACAAAGACUGACGCUCAGGUGCGAAAGCGUGGGGAGCAAACAGGAUUAGAUACCCGCGUAGUC